rnacentral:rRNA from 1 species
GACGAACGCUGGCGGCGUGCUUAACACAUGCAAGUCGAACGAGAUCCAUGUUGUAGCAAUACUUCGGAAGAUCUAGUGGCGAACGGGUGAGGAACACGUGAGGAACCUGCCCCGGACUUUGGGAUAACAGUUGGAAACGAUUGCUAAUACCGAAUACCUCUGCGAAGUGGCAUCACUUUGCAAAGAAAGAAUUUCGGUCCGGGAGGGUCUCGCGGCCUAUCAGCUAGUUGGUGGGGUAACGGCCUACCAAGGCAUCGACGGGUAGCUGGUCUGAGAGGAUGAUCAGCCACACUGGGACUGAGACACGGCCCAGACUCCUACGGGAGGCAGCAGUAGGGAAUCUUGUGCAAUGGGCGAAAGCCUGACACAGCAACGCCGCGUGCGGGAAGAAGGCCUUCGGGUCGUAAACCGCUUUCAGCAGGAACGAAAAUGACGGUACCUGCAGAAGAAGGUGCGGCCAACUACGUGCCAGCAGCCGCCGUAA